ensembl:lncRNA
AGUUUUAAUGAGAGUUUGUCUUCUUCAAAAGUACAGGAUGAAGCCAGCAAGUGGGUAAAUGAAAUGUGUGAGCAUAAGGAGCACCUACCCUUUAAAAACAUCAACAAAUGGUGACCUCUGGAUGCUACUCACAGUGUAGUCACUAAGACAAGAUUGUGAGAAUAACUGACAUUCUUGUUAUCUUGAUAACACUUUGUUAUCGUUCAAGAAAUCAUCUUGGAUUGAUUGGAAAUGGAAGUGAGAUGCCUUCUGCCUUCUUCCCACUCAUGUGGCUGCAGGCCCUCUGGAACAGAGCUCCAGACCAGAUGCAGCCUAUGGGCCACAGAUUCCCACCCUGACCAAAAAGGGAAGCUUUCUCCUGGAAGGAUGAUGGCAGAGGAGAAAAUGCAGCAGCCCUGGGCAACGAGCAAGGUCUGCAGUCUGGCAGUGCAGCUCAGCAGAUCUCUGAGAUGUGAAGUCAUCUAAGUGGAGCCACCCUACGCGUGUCAAACGAACUGACAGAUUGCAAGUGUGCUUCCUCACAUUUUGGUUUCACUGAGUCAGCAAGCCUUGCAUGGGGUGGUUCCUCUGUUCACUGAGAUUUUACCAGUCUUCCAAUUAAAUUCCCUUUCCACCAAUAUGAACUUGACAUUCUUUGGAAGAGGUCACAUGCCGGUUCGCACACCUGCAGGGAUUACAGUAGAGCUGCUCAUUAUUCCAGCCCUCUUGUCUGGGUAGACAUACUUACACCAAGGAUGUACCUCCUGUGGUUAUUUUCUCUCUGAGGUGAGGGAGGUAAAAUUGUUUGCCUAGUAUAUACCAAUCAUUUCCCUCAUGGUAAUGGGCAAAUACCUGCUUGCUGCUGGCUUUCCUUCAUGGAACUUGCAAUGCUGCUCAAUUUUUCCAUUUAUUUACUCAGCCUGUAGGGCACUGUAUUCCGGUUUCAUUCUUUAGGUUUCUUUGAAGCCAAUGAAGCAGGACUGGCUCUUGAAAGUGCAGAAGUUGGGAUUCAAUCCAUAUUUAUAUGCCAUUGCUGUAAAUGUGGAGACUGUAUUAAAGGGCUGAUCAGGCACGAAAAAAGACUUUAACUAAUUUAAGUCAGCAGGAAACCUUUUGUUUUUUACUUUAUAGAUUUUUCUGCAGUUGCUCAUCCUGAAAAUUUGGCAAUAGGUUUCUGAUAAUUCAAAGUCAAAUCUUGUACCAUAGUCAUGAGUAGAAGGAAAUAAAUGAUUUGAAUAUUAUCAGUUAUGCUUGAAAAAUGAGUGGUUCUUCCACUACUUCCAAACCAAAAGAAUACUUCCCAUUAAUCAAGUUGGAAGACUGUGUCUCAUGCUUCAUUCUAGUUUAUGUAUUCGGUCCUCUUUUCCUUGAUCCUACCUGUAGAGCCAUGUGUUUUCUAUAUUUCCUCUGUUCCAUUUACACUGCAAAUGAUUAUAAUUUCUGUUACACAAAAAAACCUGAGCUGCCACAACCACUACCUAGGUUACCAGAGCUCUUUCUGUCAUUUUCUCAACAAAUGCUUUGUUUGUGUCAUCAAUAAAAUGAUCAGAUACACCCUU